rnacentral:rRNA from 1 species
UAAUACCGGCGCCUCAAGUGGUAGUCGAUUUUAUUGGGCCUAAAACGUCCGUAGCCUGUUCGGUACAUUCGUGGGUAAAUCAACCAGCUCAACUGGUUGAAUUCUGCGAGCACGGCCAGACUUGGGACCGGGAGAGGUGUGGGGUACGCUCAGGGUAGGGGUAAAAUCCUGUCAUCCUGAGCGGACCACCUGUUGCGAAGGCGCCACACUAGAACGGAUCCGACGGUCAGGGACGAAGCCUAGGGGCACGAACCGGAUUAGAUACCCGGGUAGUCCUAGGUGUAAACGCUGUGGACUUGGUGUUGGGGAUUCUCCGAGGAUUCUCAGUGCCGAAGCGAAGGUGAUAAGUCCACUGCCUGGGGAGUACGGUCGCAAGGCUG